rfam:Triticum aestivum genome assembly, contig: Triticum_aestivum_CS42_TGACv1_scaffold_081750_1DS
GAUCUACUCCCACCGUCCGAAAAAACUUUUCAUCAAAAUGGACAAAAAGGUGUAUCUAGAACUAAAAUACAUCUAGAUACAUCCCCUUUUAUUCAUUUUGAUGACAAGUAUUUCCGGACGGAGGGAGUAUUUU